rfam:Ophiocordyceps sinensis CO18 unplaced genomic scaffold OCS_Scf_6045, whole genome shotgun sequence.
AGAGAAUUGACCGAGUGGUUUAAGGUGGUAAGUUUGAAUUUUAUUAGGUUGUUUAAACCACAUCCGUUCGAAUCGGAUAUUCUCUG